rnacentral:misc_RNA from 1 species
AAGUCGUAACAAGGUAUCUGUAGGUGAACCUGCAGAUGGAUCAUUUCGAUGAAAACCUUUUUUCUUGAGGUGUGGCUCGCACCUGUCUAACUAAAUUGGGCUACCACAUUUUAACACGGUUGCAUCGGUUGGCUGUCAAACAGUGCGCGGCAGAAAUUUAAUUAUUUUCGGCUUGCGCGCUUGCGAGACGGUCGACACUACCAAAAACACUGUUGAUACCAUAGGAUUUGAACGUAGAUGAACUCGACUGGUAAUGCGGUCGUCUAAAUCUAAAAACAACUUUUGGCAACGGAUCUCUUGGUUCUCC